UUGUAUUUUGAGUCCGUAAUUGAAUCAAAAGUGAAUCAAAACGUGAACAUCAAAACUACAUUUUGUAUGCUUGUGGAUAACUUCAA
rfam:Marine metagenome ctg_1101667156272, whole genome shotgun sequence.